UACGAAGGGGGCUAGCGUUGCUCGGAAUCACUGGGCGUAAAGGGUGCGUAGGCGGGUUUUUAAGUCAGGGGUGAAAUCCUGGAGCUCAACUCCAGAACUGCCUUUGAUACUGAAGAUCUUGAGUCCGGGAGAGGUGAGUGGAACUGCGAGUGUAGAGGUGAAAUUCGUAGAUAUUCGCAAGAACACCAGUGGCGAAGGCGGCUCACUGGUCCGAUACUGACGCUGAGGCACGAAAGCGUGGGGAGCAAACAGG
rnacentral:rRNA from 1 species